CCCACCCCGCGGUGAGCUGAACGGCAGCUUUGUUUUCUCCAACAAUAACUCAAGAGGAGGGCACAAUAGCAAAGUGAUUCCCUGGAGGGUUUGUAAUGCUUGCAGAAAUCAGGCGGCGCAGCUCGACGCAGCUGGAGUUUCCGCGCACACGUGGGUUACUCACCAGAAAACAGAAAGAGAAGAAGGUAAGCAAAGCACAGCACAGUCGGACGAUGACCUCAGGGACACCACUCGUGUGUUACAGAACCAAAAUCUUUCCGGUUUGCUUUGCAAGAAAAAUGAUCAACCGCUAGAAAUGGCCGCAUCGCUGCCAGCAGGCAAUUCACCUGGUGUUUGUCACAGCACCUGCCACCAAGUGACCUCAAAACAAUA